UUUCUUUCUCAUGUAGUGUGUGCCCAGGUGCAUCCAGUUUUUAAGAGUCUCCUGCCUUCUGACUCACUUCAUACAUAUGUCAUUAACCAGCUCUCCUCGCAUCUAAGUACUGAAACCUUAGAUCCCAUUUGUUGAAGUACCUCAAGGAGGUUACCCACAUCUCAAGGGAAGUCAUCUCCCAAGAGGGCUAUCUAAGCUUUGUCUUCAUUCUUGCCAUCUCCAUCAUGGUUGUCAUUGAAAUCUGCUCAGUAGAGAAGAGGAACCACAGUCAUAUGCCCAGCGUGGUUUUUACCUGCCUGAACACAGACCAAAAGCCUGCAGGAGCAUUUCCAAGCAUCUGAGCUCCUAAGAGGAAUGUUGGACCAGAUCCCAACAUACACAUUAAACUAACAGGACACGCUUCAUCCAAGACCUUCUUCUAUUUUUUUUUUCGUCCUCCUUACUUUUCUCUAGCUCCAUCUUCUUACUCACAUUUCAAGUUGGACUGUAUUGAGGACAGGAAGUCACUGUUGUUA